rnacentral:rRNA from 1 species
ACGCUGGCGGAGGCUUACACAUGCAAGUCGAACGCCCCGCAAGGGGAGUGGCAGACGGGUGAGUAACACGUGGGAACGUACCCUUCAGUUCGGAAUAACCCAGGGAAACUUGGGCUAAUACCGGAUACGGCCGAGAGGCGAAAGGUUUACUGCUGAAGGAUCGGCCCGCGUCCGAUUAGCUCGUUGGUGUGGUAAUGGCGCACCAAGGCUUCGAUCGGUAGCUGGUCUGAGAGGAUGGCCAGCCACAUUGGGACUGAGACACGGCCCAAACUCCUACGGGAGGCAGCAGUGGGGAAUAUUGGACAAUGGGCGCAAGCCUGAUCCAGCCAUGCCGCGUGAGUGAUGAAGGCCUUAGGGUUGUAAAGCUCUUUUACCUGGGAAGAUCAUGACGGUACCAGGAGAAUAAGCCCCGGCUAACUUCGUGCCAGCAGCCGCGGUAAUACGAAGGGGGCUAGCGUUGUUCGGAUUUACUGGGCGUAAAGGGCGCGUAUGCGGGCGAUUAAGUCAGGGGUGAAAUCCCAAGGCUCAACCUUGGAACUGGCUUUGAUACUGAUUGUCUUGA